UGGGGAAUAUUGCACAAUGGGCGAAAGCCUGAUGCAGCAACGCCGCGUGAGUGAUGAAGGCCUUCGGGUUGUAAAGCUCUGUCUUUGGGGACGAUUAUGACGGUACCCAAGGAGGAAGCCACGGCUAACUACGUG
rnacentral:rRNA from 1 species